ACCCUAGCAGCAGACUUCUGUUUGAGAUACCAGGAAGGACCAACCGAGCAAUGGCUCUACGUUUACUCGGGAGGAAGCUGAUGAUAGUGAAGCCACAAAAACUAGGGUUUUGUUUCAGUGACAGCUAUCGCACAGCCGUUCCGGCCGUGAGAACACUUGCAAGAAUCGUAAAACCCAAAAGCUGGCCCGAGAUCCAAUUGGAAGAGAAAAAUCGCCAAUUGAAGAAAGAGAAGGAAGACAACCGCCAGUUGGAGGAA